rnacentral:misc_RNA from 1 species
UAUAUAAACGAAGGAAGAAGAAGAAAGAACAGAUCAGUCCCUGUAUAAUGUAAAAGUUGUCCAGGUUGAAGGAAGGCACUAUAAUAUUAGGUCUGCCUUCUAGGAAAUCAUUUCAUCGAGGUUCUGGGUAUCUAUAAAUAGAAAGAGGCCAAUCUCACAUUAUAGACAUUGUUAAGGAUAUGGGUUAUUCAUGUAUCUGCAAACCAUGCUUAAAAUGGCACAAGGAAAAGCUGCGCUGAACUCGUAGCUUAAACAUGUGAGUGAACUUUAUGAGAGAAUGGUAAACUAUGAACCUUAGCCAUGGAAUGUGGUCACUUGUGCUUUGAAUAAGACAAAAAUGACUCAAUCAGCAGGAGAAAAACCUUGUGCAUUCACAGUUAUUGGGCCAUGGCAAGGUCCCCCAGUUCCUUCAAAAUAUCAUUACACACAGGGUCAUCGAGGAAAGUUCAAGUACCAUUUAAUACUAUCGACCUCUAGUAGCCACAUCUUUUGUAGGG